AGGGAAUUAGUUUAAUGGUAAACAAGAUGCUACGGACAUCGAAAUUAUAGUUCGAGUCUAUAAUGCCCUU
rnacentral:tRNA from 1 species